rnacentral:rRNA from 1 species
AGUCGAACGGUAACAUUUCUAGCUUGCUAGAAGAUGACGAGUGGCGGACGGGUGAGUAAUGCUUGGGAACUUGCCUUUAGGAGGGGGAUAACAGUUGGAAACGACUGCUAAUACCGCAUAAUGUCUACGGACCAAAGGGGGCUUCGGCUCUCACCUAAAGAGAGGCCCAAGUGAGAUUAGCUAGUUGGUAAGGUAAAAGCUUACCAAGGCGACGAUCUCUAGCUGUUCUGAGAGGAAGAUCAGCCACACUGGGACUGAGACACGGCCCAGACUCCUACGGGAGGCAGCAGUGGGGAAUAUUGCACAAUGGGGGAAACCCUGAUGCAGCCAUGCCGCGUGUGUGAAGAAGGCCUUCGGGUUGUAAAGCACUUUCAGUUGUGAGGAAAGGUUGGUAGUUAAUACCUGCCAGCUGUGACGUUAACAACAGAAGAAGCACCGGCUAACUCCGUGCCAGCAGCCGCGGUAAUACGGAGGGUGCGAGCGUUAAUCGGAAUUACUGGGCGUAAAGCGCACGCAGGCGGUUUGUUAAGCUAGAUGUGAAAGCCCCGGGCUCAACCUGGGAUGGUCAUUUAGAACUGGCAGACUAGAGUCUUGGAGAGGGGAGUGGAAUUCCAGGUGUAGCGGUGAAAUGCGUAGAUAUCUGGAGGAACAUCAGUGGCGAAGGCGGCUCCCUGGCCAAAGACUGACGCUCAUGUGCGAAAGUGUGGGUAGCGAACAGGAUUAGAUACCCUGGUAGUCCACACCGUAAACGCUGUCUACUAGCUGUUUGUGAAUUUAAUUCGUGAGUAGCGAAGCUAACGCGAUAAGUAGACCGCCUGGGGAGUACGGCCGCAAGGUUAAAACUCAAAUGAAUUGACGGGGGCCCGCACAAGCGGUGGAGCAUGUGGUUUAAUUCGAUGCAACGCGAAGAACCUUACCUACACUUGAC